rnacentral:rRNA from 1 species
GCGGUACUUCAAGCUCCAAUAGCGUAUAUGUAAAUUGUUGCGGUUGAAAAGCUCGUAGUUGGACUUCUGGCGACUGCGUUCGGUCCGCCAAGUGCGUGCACUGUCCGCGGUCGUCGUUUCUGUCGACGUGGCGCGUCGGCCUUAGUUGGUCGGUGCGUCGUCUGUCGGCGAUGUUACUUUGAGGAAAUCAGAGUGCUCAAGGCAAGCGUUCGCUCGUGACUUCACUAGCAUGGAAUAACACAGAUGGGCUCUUUCUCGCACUGUUGGUCUGCGUCAAUUGAGCAACGAUCGAUAGAGACGGUCGGGGGCAUUCGUAUUGCGCAGUUAGAGGUGAAAUUCUCCGAUCUGCGCAAGACGUACUAAUGCGAAAGCAGUUGCCAAGGACGUCCUCUUAUGAUCAAGAGCGAAAGUCGGGGGAUCAAAGAUGAUUAGAUACCGUCGUAGUCCCGACCAUAAAUGAUGCCGACUGAGCUUCGGCGACUCGACCUCAGGUCGUACGUCGGCGCUCUUAGAGAAAUUAAAGUCUUUGGGCUCCGGGGGUAGUAUGGUCGCAAGUCUGAAACUUGAAGGAAUUGACGGAAGGGCACCACAAGGCGUGGAUGUUGCGGCUUAAUUUGACUCAACACGGGAAAGCUUACUAGGUUUGGACACCUUUGUGAUGGACAGAUUGAAGCUCUUACCCUACUGCGUGGAUGGUGGUGCAUGGUCGUUCUCAGCCCGUGGGUUGACCUGUCAGGUUUACUCCGGUAACGCGCGAGACCUCGGUCUGCUAAAUAGACGCGGCUGUUUCGGCACCCGCGCUCUUCUUAGAGAGAGACUCGACGAGAGUCGAGGGAAGUCGAGGCAAUAACAGAUCUGUGAUGCCCUUAGUUAUCCUAGGUCGCACGCGCCAUACAAUGUGGCGCACAACGAGUCUCCUUGGCCGACAGGAUCUGGGCAAUCUGGCAGAGCGCUACGUGACUGGGCUAGACUUUUGUAAUUUUUGGUCUUGAACGAGGAAUGCCUAGUAAUCGCAGGUCAGCAUCCUGCGAUGAUUCGGUCCCUGCCCUUUGUACACACCGCCCGUCGCUCCAUCCGUGGCAUGCGCCGGUGAAGAGGGGGAGGCAGCGUCGGCCGGGUAACACCGGAUCGUACGUGGAACCCCUCUGAACCUUCGCACGUAGAGGAAGGAGAAGUCGUAACAAGGUUUUCGUAGGUGAACCUGCGAAAGGAUCAUUAUCGGCAC